AACAGCUCAAAUUUGAAAUCUGGCCCUCGGGUCCGAGUUGUAAUUUGUAGAGGAUGCUUUUCGGCGCGGUGCCUUCCGAGUUCCCUGGAACGGGGACGCCUUAGAGGGUGAGAGCCCCGUACGGUUGGACACCAAGCCUCUGUAAAGCUCCCUUCGACGAGUCGAGUAGUUUGGGAAUGCUGCUCUAAAUGGGAGGUAAAUUUCUUCUAAAGCUAAAUAUUGGCCAGAGACCCGAUAGCGCACAAGUAGAGUGAUCGAAAGAUGAAAAGCACUUUGAAAAGAGGGUUAAAUAGCACGUGAAAUUGUUGAAAGGGAAGCGUUUGCGACCAGACCUUUUCCUAGCGGAUCAUCCGGUGUUCUCACCGGUGCACUUCGCUAAGUUUAGGCCAGCAUCGGUUUCUGUAGGGGGAUAAAAGCUCUGGGAACGUAGCUCCUCCGGGAGUGUUAUAGCCCUCUGCAUAAUACCUUUACGGGGACCGAGGACCGCGCUUCGGCAAGGAUGCUGGCGUAAUGGUCGUCAACGACCCGUCUUGAAACACGGACCAAGGAGUCGAACAUUUGUGCGAGUGUUUGGGUGUUAAACCCUCACGCGUAAUGAAAAGUGAACGGAGGUGAGAGCCCUUACGGGUGCAUCAUCGACCGAUCCUGAUGUCUUCGGAUGGAUUUGAGUAAGAGCAUAACUGUUCGGACCCGAAAGAUGGUGAACUAUGCGUGGAUAGGGUGAAGCCAGAGGAAACUCUGGUGGAGGCUCGCAGCGGUUCUGACGUGCAAAUCGAUCGUCAAAUCUGCGCAUGGGGGCGAAAGACUUAUCGAACCAUCUAGUAGCUGGUUACCGCCGAAGUUUCCCUCAGGAUAGCAGUGUUGUUCUUCAGUUUUAUGAGGUAAAGCGAAUGAUUAGGGACUCGGGGGCGCUUUUUUGCCUUCAUCCAUUCUCAAACUUUAAAUAUGUAAGAAGCCCUUGUUACUUAAUUGAACGUGGGCAUUCGAAUGUACCAACACUAGUGGGCCAUUUUUGGUAAGCAGAACUGGCGAUGCGGGAUGAACCGAACGCGGGGUUAAGGUGCCGGAGUGGACGCUCAUCAGACACCACAAAAGGUGUUAGCACAUUUAGACAAUAGGACGGUGGCCAUGGAAGUCGGAAUCCGCUAAGGACUGUGUAACAACUCACCUAUCGAAUGUGCUAGCCCUGAAAAUGGAUGGCGCUCAAGCGUCCCACCCAUACCUCGCCCUCA
rnacentral:rRNA from 1 species